AGAGUUUGAUCCUGGCUCAGGACGAACGCUGGCGGCACGCUUAACACAUGCAAGUCGAACGAGAGAAGAGAAGCUUGCUUUUCUGAUCUAGUGGCGGACGGGUGAGUAACACGUGAGCAAUCUGCCUUUCAGAGGGGGAUACCGAUUGGAAACGAUCGUUAAUACCGCAUAACAUAAUUGAACCGCAUGAUUUGAUUAUCAAAGAUUUAUCGCUGAAAGAUGAGCUCGCGUCUGAUUAGCUAGUUGGUAAGGUAACGGCUUACCAAGGCGACGAUCAGUAGCCGGACUGAGAGGUUGAUCGGCCACAUUGGGACUGAGACACGGCCCAGACUCCUACGGGAGGCAGCAGUGGGGAAUAUUGCACAAUGGAGGAAACUCUGAUGCAGCGAUGCCGCGUGAGGGAAGAAGGUUUUAGGAUUGUAAACCUCUGUCUUCAGGGACGAAAAAAGACGGUACCUGAGGAGGAAGCUCCGGCUAACUACGUGCCAGCAGCCGCGGUAAUACGUAGGGAGCGAGCGUUGUCCGGAAUUACUGGGUGUAAAGGGAGUGUAGGCGGGAUCGCAAGUCAGAUGUGAAAACUAUGGGCUUAACCCAUAAACUGCAUUUGAAACUGUGGUUCUUGAGUGAAGUAGAGGUAAGCGGAAUUCCUAGUGUAGCGGUGAAAUGCGUAGAUAUUAGGAGGAACAUCAGUGGCGAAGGCGGCUUACUGGGCUUUAACUGACGCUGAGGCUCGAAAGCGUGGGGAGCAAACAGGAUUAGAUACCCUGGUAGUCCACGCCGUAAACG
rnacentral:rRNA from 1 species